GCCCGUCACACCAUGGGAGUGGGUUGCAAAAGAAGUAGGUAGCUUAACCUUCGGGAGGGCGCUUACCACUUUGUGAUUCAUGACUGGGGUGAAGUCGUAACAAGGUAACCGUAGGGGAACCUGCGGUUGGAUCACCUCCUU
rnacentral:rRNA from 1 species